AUCAUUUUACUCAUUCGUUGUGAAAGAUCAAGCAACCAGAAGCUCAACUUUAGUUUUUCCUCCACUAAAUAUUUCGAGCAGGCCAAGUUUGUGGUGCACCAGAUUAACGAACCAGCAACUUCGUUCUAAAGGCUUUGUGGAUCGUGAGGAGUAACACUGCUAUACCGAUUUAGAGUUAAGAAUAAACGACAGGCAUUGCCUAACCAGGCUUUGUGGAUCGUGAGGAGUAACACUGCUAUACCGAUUUAGAGUUAAGAAUAAACGACAGGCAUUGCCUAAUCAGGUUGAGCAGCUGAUGGAAUGGAAUGGUGUUGAGCAGGUGUUCCUUUGAUCAUUUCAAGAAAUGUAACCUUGAGUAUACAUCUUCAUAUGUAUAUCUCACACGUUUUCCGCUGCAAAAUACUUUGAUUAGGAUAGCUCUAUGUUAUGAAGUUGGGAUACGUGUUAUUGGGUAACCCACCUUAAUCAGUUCUCAUUUAUGUAUGUGUUUUAUAAGUAUCCAAAUAAUCAUAUAUGAUCCUAGCAUUUUAUCUAUGA